GCCCUCGCCAAGGGGUGUUUACCGCAUUGCGGUUGACUGAGAUGUCGUAUGACGAACCCUUAGAACCUGAUCCGGCUAGUACCGGCGUAGGAAUGGGCCACAAUUCGUGC
rnacentral:ncRNA from 1 species